rnacentral:lncRNA from 1 species
GCCCAUUUUGUGUGACCUAUAGCGAAAGUUCGUCAUUUUGACGCACUCGGGCGUCGAGCAGGAACUCUCCUUGGAAUGCGUUGAACAUCACGUUGCCAUGUUUGAAACGAAAGCAAUAGGGCAUCUAUCGGUCCCCUCCCAAGUUAGUCGAUCACGCAUGCAUGUAGGUCCAUGAUCAGCUUGCCAGCUUGUUGACUCGGUGCAUCCCUUUGGUUCACCCAUUCUUACGCACGCCCUCGCAGCGAAGUGCAUGCCUGCCCUCUGUGCUUCAACAUCAUCGUCCUCGCAGCACUGGUCGGCACCCAUCGUAUGUGGUUGCCGUUGCAGCACCCAGUCACCGCCACCAAGACCUCAUAGCACACUUGCUCACUGCUCCUCACCUGUAACAGGCCUCGCAGCUUGUCUGUUGGCCUAUGCACAGGACCGGCUCUAUAUUUUCCGGGGCCCUAGGGCGAAGUUUAAAAAUAGGCCCUUGCGGAUAAUAAAUAUG